UGGGGAAUUUUGGACAAUGGGGGAAACCCUGAUCCAGCCAUCCCGCGUGUGCGAUGAAGGCCUUCGGGUUGUAAAGCACUUUUGGCAGGAAAGAAACGUCAUGGGUUAAUACCCCGUGAAACUGACGGUACCUGCAGAAUAAGCACCGGCUAACUACGUGCCAGCAGCCGCGGUAAUACGUAGGGUGCAAGCGUUAAUCGGAAUUACUGGGCGUAAAGCGUGCGCAGGCGGUUCGGAAAGAAAGAUGUGAAAUCCCAGAGCUCAACUUUGGAACUGCAUUUUUAACUACCGGGCUAGGGUGUGUCAGAGGGAGGUGGAACUCCGCGUGUAGCAGUGAAAUGCGUAGAUAUGCGGAGGAACACAGAUGGCGAAGGCAGCCUCCUGGGAUAACACUGACGCUCAUGCACGAAAGCGUGGGGAGCAAACAGG
rnacentral:rRNA from 1 species